rnacentral:rRNA from 1 species
UACGGAGGGGGCAAGCGUUGUUCGGAAUUACUGGGCGUAAAGGGCGCGCAGGCGGCUGCUCAAGUCAGGCGUGAAAGGCCUGGGCUCAACCCGGGAAUUGCGCUUGAGACUGGGCUGGCUUGAGUGCGGGAGAGGAUGGUGGAAUUCCCAGUGUAGAGGUGAAAUUCGUAGAUAUUGGGAAGAACACCGGUGGCGAAGGCGGCCAUCUGGACCGCAACUGACGCUGAGGCGGCGAAAAGCGUGGGGAGCAAACAGG